CAGUCGCCACGGGAAUACAGAGGGUGCGAGCGUUAAUCGGAUUUACUGGGCGUAAAGCGUGCGUAGGCGGCUUCUUAAGUCGGAUGUGAAAUCCCUGAGCUUAACUUAGGAAUUGCAUUCGAUACUGGGAAGCUAGAGUAUGGGAGAGGAUGGUAGAAUUCCAGGUGUAGCGGUGAAAUGCGUAGAGAUCUGGAGGAAUACCGAUGGCGAAGGCAGCCAUCUGGCCUAAUACUGACGCUGAGGUACGAAAGCAUGGGGAGCAAACAGGAUUAGAUACCCCGGUAGUUCCUGUCUCUUAUAC
rnacentral:rRNA from 1 species